UACGGAGGGUGCAAGCGUUGUCCGGAAUUAUUGGGCGUAAAGAGCUCGUAGGCGGUUUGUUGCGUCGGCUGUGAAAUCCCGAGGCUCAACCUCGGGUCUGCAGUCGAUACGAGCAAACUAGAGUGUUGCAGGGGAGACUGGAAUUCCUGGUGUAGCGGUGAAAUGCGCAGAUAUCAGGAGGAACACCGGUGGCGAAAGCGGGUCUCUGGGCCGAUGACUGACGCUGGAGGAGCGAAAGCGUGGGGAGCGAACAGG
rnacentral:rRNA from 1 species